CAUACACAUGCUGUUUUGGAGAAAAUCUGUGCCAGAGAGAUGCUUAAUGAAACAUCUAGCAAGCCCCCGCCGAAGAACUGCAGUGCGGACCCUGCGAACUCUGGGGUUCAGUUUUGUCCUCUUUGCGCUCUUCAACUAACAACUCUACCCCAUUUGAAAAGCAGCCCCUGGUUUGCUACUGGGCACUAGGAGAAACUGAACACAUGACUACGGGGCAGUGGAAAAGGAAAAAAGAGAAAGACAGUAGUGAUGGGUAUCUUCCCAGUGAGCUGGUUGUUCACUUACAUAACAUAGAGAAAACCCAUGGCUUGAAAGGAGGAAGCACUGGGUUGUUCCACUCCUUAUUGACUGUGGUAUCCCUCCCUGGUUCUGCACUGACAUGUUGAUAUGGAGAGAUGAUUAAAGGAU